rnacentral:rRNA from 1 species
UACGAAGGGGGCUAGCGUUGCUCGGAAUCACUGGGCGUAAAGGGUGCGUAGGCGGGUCUUUAAGUCAGUGGUGAAAGCCCAUCGCUUAACGGUGGAAUUGCCAUUGAUACUGUUAGUCUUGAGUAUGGUUGAGGUGGGCGGAAUGUGUCAUGUAGCGGUGAAAUGCUUAGAUAUGACCCAGAACACCAAUUGCGAAGCAGCUCGCUAAGCCAUAACUGACGCUGAGGCACGAAAGCGUGGGGAGCGAACAG